GGUUGCAUGGAGUAGUUGGUUAACUUAGGAGAUUCUGAUUGCUUCCGAAGGUGAUAUGGACUGACCAUGUGAUGAUGUCGGAUAUUACGAUUCGAAUUCUCUUGCCCUGGGUUCGAAUCCCAGUGCGACUA